UACAGAGGUCUCAAGCGUUGUUCGGAUUCAUUGGGCGUAAAGGGUGCGUAGGCGGCGCGGUAAGUCGGGUGUGAAAUCUCGGGGCUUAACUCGGAACGGUCAAGUGAUACUGUCGUGCUAGAGUACAGAAGGGGCAACUGGAAUUCUCGGUGUAGCGGUGAAAUGCGUAGAUAUCGAGAGGAACACCUGCGGCGAAGGCGGGUUGCUGGGCUGAUACUGACGCUGAGGCACGAAGGCCAGGGGAGCAAACGGG
rnacentral:rRNA from 1 species